GGGGUUAUAGCUCAGUAGGCAGAGCAUUUGCAUGGCAUGCAAAAUGUCAGCGGUUCGAUUCCGCUUAACUCCA
rnacentral:tRNA from 1 species